UACAGAGGUCCCAAGCGUUGUUCGGAUUCAUUGGGCGUAAAGGGUGCGUAGGCGGCGGGGUAAGUCAGGUGUGAAAUCCCGGAGCUCAACUCCGGAACUGCACUUGAUACUGCCUUGCUCGAGUACUGGAGAGGAGACUGGAAUUUACGGUGUAGCAGUGAAAUGCGUAGAUAUCGUAAGGAAGACCAGUGGCGAAGGCGAGUCUCUGGACAGGUAUUGACGCUGAGGUGCGAAAGCGUGGGGAGCAAACAGG
rnacentral:rRNA from 1 species